rnacentral:rRNA from 1 species
ACAGAGGUCCCAAGCGUUGUCCGGAAUCACUGGGCGUAAAGGGCGCGUAGGUGGCGACCCAAGUCAAUGGUGAAAGCUCGAUGCUCAACAUCGAGUCGGCCACUGAUACUGGGUUGCUCGAGCACUGUAGAGGCAGAUGGAAUUCCGGGUGUAGCGGUGGAAUGCGUAGAGAUCCGGAAGAACACCGGUGGCGAAGGCGGUCUGCUGGGCAGUUGCUGACACUGAGGCGCGACAGCGUGGGGAGCAAACAGGA